rnacentral:lncRNA from 1 species
CAUAUCCCUUUUUUUUUUUAAAUACAACCCAUUGAAAUAGAAAACAUUCAGUAGAUAGAUAUAGGAAGAUGUGGUAUGAGUGCGAAUGAGACAACUAUCCAUCCAAAUAACAAUUUAUUAAAGUAAACCAUUAUAGGUCAAUGUACGGCCUUCAACACAGAGCCUUGGCUCACACGGAACAACAAGCUAUAAACAUGAUAAA